rnacentral:misc_RNA from 1 species
CUCAUCAUCAACAAUCAUCAUCUUGGUGUGAACAUAAAUCAUGAAACGCCUGGCCUGCUGGGCUCUUAAAUAAUCAGAAUCCUCCUCUGGUGCCUCUGCAGGUUGAUAUUCUCCAGACCUCUUGACUUCCCGGUUGCCAAGACAGAAGAAUGUCAAGUAGUUGCGAGGGUCUUCUUCGCUACCUUGAUCUCUAAGAGCCUGAAUCACGUCUUUAUACAUCAUUUCAAAUGUCCUCCUCUG